rnacentral:rRNA from 1 species
AACGACUCUCGGCAACGGAUAUCUCGGCUCUCGCAUCGAUGAAGAACGUAGCGAAAUGCGAUACUUGGUGUGAAUUGCAGAAUCCCGUGAACCAUCGAGUCUUUGAACGCAAGUUGCGCCCGACGCCUUUUGGUCGAGGGCACGCCUGCCUGGGCGUCAC